GAGGCUCUCGCCGGCGCUCCCCAGCCUCGCCACCCGCCGCCGCACCUCCUACCGGCUGAUUCCCUCUCCAUCUCCUUGCGCCUCCGGUUGCAAUGUUGCUAACCCUAGCUCUUGCUCCCGGCCGAGGCUGAGCCACCGUCGCCGCCAUGGGGGAAUCUUCUACCAGAAAAUCGACCCGCACCGCGCCACGACGUCGCGGAUGGCUUGUCCGCCGGCUCGCGCGUGCAUCGCUACCACGAUGCCCGACGCCCCGUGGAGCUCGCCGCUCGCAUCUGUGUCCGUGCGUGGUGGACGAGGGAGGGCUCUGCUGCCCACCAACCGGCCCGCCUCCGCGCCAUGUACCCUGCCACUUGGCGUCGGUCGAGGCGCGCCCUUCACCAUCGCCGUGCGGUUGGAGAUCUCGGCGCCGUUGUUCCGGGAUGCCGCCCUGGAUAGGCGCUUGCCGGCGGUUCGGUCCGGCACGACCCCGCCGCUCCAGCUACGGAAGUCAUCCGGGACAAGCACGAGGAGUCGUUGCUGGUCUGGUCCUCCAGAUGCACCGCGACCAACUGUUGUUGUUGCUGACCAACCCCCGCAGUCGCAUGCCGGCUGCCCAAGGCGGCGUCUAUGGCGAGGAUGGUUCAGGAGGGUGUCCACUCCGACAGCUUCUCUAUUCGGAUGAAGACGACCUGCAGGUCAAUCCUGUUGUUGCCUUUCCUGAUAAUUUUUUGGCUGCCCGUCGUUCAACUCAGAUUGUUGCUUGGUCCAGAUAAAGCUGCAGCUAAUCUGAAAUGGUUUUUCAACAAGUGUAUAACUGAAUACCCAUCUCAGAAAAUGCACUAUCACCUAAUCUGAAGUUUAGGAGCUAAUUUGGACUUAACUGUUAUAGUUUUUUUUAGCUUGCCUGUAGCUGGGAUGAGUGUUCACUUUUUGUACCCUCAUGUUCCUCCAUCUCUUCUAGUAAAUGAAUGGGAGGACUGCUACUGCUUAGGCAUAUGCUCGACAGAAGUUUAUCUACCUAUUUAAUAAACGAGGAGUGGCAAGCAUGAAUCCAUAUUCAUUUUUUCAGGAGUGCAUUUUAUGUUCUAUAUGAUGAUAAUCUAAACUCGAUCAGGUCCCGUUUCUCAAUUGGCCGCAACUAGGUUAAUGUCCUCGCGUCGUGGAUAAAAUCUACACUACAUUUUUGUUUCUUUUUUUAUUACAUGCAAUGCAUAAACAAACAGUCCAGGAGUAACUUUUAUGUUUUUUCUUUGUCCCUAAUCGAGUUGAUUCAACUGCAUUGUCAGUACCACUAUUAUUGGACAUUUUAGCUUAAGUUGCGUUCCACUUUAUCCUAAAUUGUUUAUCCUGUUUGAUUGAUUAGUCACUAUAGCUUAAGUUGCUUCCCACUUUAUCCUAAGUUGCUUAUCAUGUUUCAUUAAGUUGAUUAUGCACUUUGUCCUAAAUUGCUUAUCCUAUUUCAUUAAUUUAAUUAAUGGCUUCAGCUUAAGUUGCUUUCUAGUUUAACUAAGGUUUACUGUCUCUUUUCAUUAAAUUGAUGAGCUACUUUAGCUUAAGUUUCUUCCCACUUUAAUUAUCCCGACACCUAGCUCGAGCACUAGCUCGAGCCAGCCAUUGCCCCCGACCAACGCAAGUUGCUUAUCCAUUUUAACUAACUUGCUGGCUGCUACGUUAUUAAGUUGCUUUCUAGUAAUGUUUAAUUUGGCAAACAUUGAUGCUAAGUUGCUUUCUAGUAAAGUUGACGUAACAUUGAUGCUAAGUUGCUUUUUUGGGUAAUGUUUAAGUAAGUGCAAACACUGAUAAUAAGUUGAUUUAUGGAUAAUGUAUAAAUUGCAUGAACGUUGAUGCUAAGUUGCUUUCUGGGUAAUGUUUAAGUUGCAUAAAUAUUGAUGCUAAGUUGCUUCCUAGGUAAUGUUUAAGUUGCGUAAACAUUUGAUGAUAAGUUGUCUAAACAUUGAUGCUAAGUUGUCGUAUGGGUAAUGUCUGAGUUGUAUCAACUGGUCAUGAAGUUGCUAAUCUGGAUAGAUGUACCACACCACAAGAUUUUUUUUUGGGCGUUUAUAUGUUGAACAAGGAACAUAAACAAUUUACUAAUGUCAAUUUUGGCAUUUUCGAUUUUGGUGGGCAGGGAUCUUAGUUGUUUUUUUGUAUACUCAUUAUGUUGCAUACGUGCUCUUGAGUGUGUACUUAUGCAACUGGGUUAGUUGCUUUUGUCCCUCAAAUCAAGUUGUUAGACACGUUAGGUUAAGUUGCAAAUACCUACCUGUUUAGUUGCAUCUGUCCAGCUUAGAUAUGUAGUUUGAUCUCUUCUUGUUUAUGUGCAAGUGUAGGGCAUGUGAGGGCGAGGGGCCACUGCAGGUGUCCCCAGUUCAAACUCAGUGGAACAGUGAAGCGCUGGGUCUCUCGCGAGACACCAGGUCGGCUUUGUCGACGACGGCCUCAAGGGCACACAGUAUACUGCUUUGUUCAGAAGUCGUCACCUAAACGGCGUCUAGUCGUCGGGUCGCGCUGGAGAGCACGACUGGACACUACAAAAUAUUCAGAAAAAUAGUGUAAGCAACUGUGUGUACAAAGUUGUUUUGCCACAACACUAGAGUUGCUUUUCAAAAAAAAAAGUUGCCAAAAUAUAUACAAAUGAGAUCUAAUUUCGAA